UACGAAGGGUGCAAGCGUUACUCGGAAUUACUGGGCGUAAAGCGUGCGUAGGUGGUUUGUUAAGUCUGAUGUGAAAGCCCUGGGCUCAACCUGGGAACUGCAUUGGAAACUGGCUGACUAGAGUGCGGUAGAGGGGUGUGGAAUUCCCGGUGUAGCAGUGAAAUGCGUAGAGAUGCGGAGGAACACCGAUGGCGAAGGCAGCCCCCUGGGCUGACACUGACGCUCAGGCACGAAAGCGUGGGGAGCAAACAGG
rnacentral:rRNA from 1 species